rnacentral:rRNA from 1 species
AAUGGGCGCAGCCUGAUCCAGCCAUACCGCGUGGGUGAAGAAGGCCUUCGGGUUGUAAAGCCCUUUUGUUGGGAAAGAAAUCCAGCCGGCUAAUACCCGGUUGGGAUGACGGUACCCAAAGAAUAAGCACCGGCUAACUUCGUGCCAGCAGCCGCGGUAAUACGA